AGGACCGCACAGCUUCCUGGUUCGCUGCGUCCAGCGUCAUCAAAUGGUCGUAAUGUGCAGCCUCAAAGAAGCCAAAAAAAAAGAAGAAGUGAGAACCACUCUUAAUGAGGUUAAGUCAAGUUUGAGUGUUGCUGUUGUGGUGUGAAUGAGGGAGGCCUGAGGAGGUCACGUUCAAGUCUCAGAGAAGCAGACAAGCGCUGCAGGGCUGCUUCAAGCAAGGCGGGACUGAGCCCCAGGCUGGAGGAAGUGCUCCACAGGGGGGACGAGGACAUGUGACGACCACCUCUGACACGUAACGCAGCUGGCCGUGUUCACAAAGCUCUGCCUGACAACUGGACCUCAAAUCUUCAUCUAGAACUCGCAGUCAGACAACCAGCCUCUCUUUUUAUCCUCACUCUUCCUUUUUUGCCGCUGUGCUGGUCGCGCCGAAUCGUUUGGACAAGCGCAGCAAUGGCAAGACAAACAAGGGAUGGGAGUGAGGUUCCUUGGGACACUUUGGACUGUGUCAUUGAUUUGCAGUCGAGCUCCACGCACUUCUUGUCCUUCACUCGGCGCUACAAUCAAUCAUGUCUGCUUGUGGCCACGCAGGGC